rnacentral:rRNA from 1 species
UACAGAGGGGGCAAGCGUUAUUCGGAAUUAUUGGGCGUAAAGGGCGCGUAGGCGGCUUGGCAAGUGGAUGGUGAAAUCCCUCGGCUUAACCGAGGAACUGCCGUCCAAACUGCUUCGCUUGAGACCGGGAGAGGUGAGUGGAAUUCCCAGUGUAGCGGUGAAAUGCGUAGAUAUUGGGAGGAACACCAGUGGCGAAGGCGGCUCACUGGCCCGGUACUGACGCUGAGGUGCGAAAGCGUGGGGAGCAAACAGG